UACGGAGGGUGCAAGCGUUAUCCGGAUUCACUGGGUUUAAAGGGUGCGUAGGUGGGCAGGUAAGUCAGUGGUGAAAUCUCUGGGCUUAACCCGGAACUGCCGUUGAUACUAUUUGUCUUGAAUAUAGUGGAGGUGAGCGGAAUAUGUCAUGUAGCGGUGAAAUGCUUAGAUAUGACAUAGAACAUCGAUUGCGAAGGCAGCUCGCUACACUAUUAUUGACACUGAGGCACGAAAAGCGUGGGGGAUCAAACAGG
rnacentral:rRNA from 1 species